GACGAACGCUGGCGGCGUGCUUAACACAUGCAAGUCGAACGGAAAGGCCCUGCUUGCAGGGUGCUCGAGUGGCGAACGGGUGAGUAACACGUGGGUGAUCUGCCCCUUACUUUGGGAUAAGCCUGGGAAACUGGGUCUAAUACUGGAUAGGACCAUGCUGUAGGUGGUGUGGUGGAAAGAUUAGUUUCGGUAAGGGAUGAGCUCGCGGCCUAUCAGCUUGUUGGUGGGGUAAUGGCCUACCAAGGCGUCGACGGGUAGCCGGCCUGAGAGGGUGGACGGCCACAUUGGGACUGAGAUACGGCCCAGACUCCUACGGGAGGCAGCAGUGGGGAAUAUUGCACAAUGGGCGCAAGCCUGAUGCAGCGACGCCGCGUGGGGGAUGACGGCCUUCGGGUUGUAAACUCCUUUCAGCCAUGACGAAGCCCUUGUGGUGACGGUAGUGGUAGAAGAAGCACCGGCUAACUACGUA
rnacentral:rRNA from 1 species